CAGUACCGUGAGGGAAAGGUGAAAAGCACCCCGACAAGGGGAGUGAAAGAGUUCCUGAAACCGGAUGCUUACAAACAGUUGGAGGGCGCAAGCCUGACAGCGUACCUUUUGUAUAAUGGGUCAGCGACUUAAUCUGACGAGCAAGCUUAAACCGUUAGGUGUAGGCGUAGCGAAAGCGAGUCUUAAUAGGGCGAAUGAGUUAGGUGGAUCAGACCCGAAACCGAGUGAUCUAGGCAUGACCA
rnacentral:rRNA from 1 species